AAGACAUCUCAUCAGGAUGAACUGGGGCAAGGCAGCCUCCAGAAACACACCUGGGUCUCUGGGCAGUCAUCUGCAGGCGAUUGCCUCCAGGUGUUUGCCAGUGGGAACCCAUUGAAAGUCGAUGCAAUUUAGAGCAAUUUCUCUGGCAGUGGAAAUUAACCUGCAGGAAUCUGCCGGCAACAGGUGUAUUUUAGGGCAGACAUACCAGCGUCCUGCACUGUGGAGACAGGACUUUGACUACCAGGUGUAGUGCAGAAGGCUGGAUAAUUGGAGGAGGCAGAAAAUUAGUGCAGAGAAGAUGGCCAAAUUGCAGGUCAGCAUGGUUUGGUGUAAUUAUUGGUUAACCCUCUCCUGUCUGUUAACCAAAAACUACUUGUGUGUUUGAGGAACCAGGAAAUCUGCACUGAAGGGACAAGAAUUAUCACUCCCUGCCCAAGCCAACUGAAUUUUUUGAUAGCUAAGGUUUUCAGCAAAUUGUUUUUGGUUUAGUGUUUGAUACUCAGACGAUUGCCAGGAAAACACAGGAAGAAGUGAAUUUUAAGUGCUUGAAAGCCUCCUGACUCAGAAACAAACCUAAUUUUACCUAGUGUGUUUGCCACUUUUUAUCUCUUUUGAAAAGACUUAUAGGGAGGAAUGUACAUAAUCAGGAAAGGGCAUCUAUGCUCUGUACCUCCGAUUCUCCUUGACAGAUGCAAAAAGCUAAUUGGUAUUAGCAAAUGUGCCCAUUGAAAGCAAGCAUAUUUUAGUAACACAAGUGUACACUGUAGUGAUGUUUCUGAGGUCAUCAGAGAAGAUUUGCCAGAGGCUUUCGCUUACCCAAGGGAAGUAAUGUUAAAGGGUCAUGUGUUUUUCUGAAGCAAAGUAUCGCUUUUACAGAGAAAUGGCUGCUACCUAGGGCCAGUGCCUUCACAGUUUGGUUAUGCUAAGUAGAAGAUACAGAUUUGUAAUGCCUAAAUUCUCACACUUCUAAUCCUACAGUCCAAUUAUUCUGGCAUUUGCUACAAUGUGCUCUGAAGAAAUGGAUUGGAAAUAAACAAAUAAAUAAAUAAAUAAAUAAUUCCACAGGAGGAAAAAAAUGCGUUCUGAAAGGAUCAGGAUUUUCAAAGCCCCCAAGCUUCAACAUAUCCGAGGAUCGAAGGCCUGAAUAAAGUGGCAUCACAGAAGUGUGAGAACAGCCUUUCCCCAUUCUCCGGAGUGGAUCCAUGAGCCAGGAGUCAGGCCUGCACUUUGAGGAGCGGAAGUGCUUUUGUGAGGACAAGCAAGAAUGUCUUGUAAUUUCAACUACCCUUAAAGCUGUUUCAGGGUUCCCUGAUAAUGAACUAACUGAUACUGGGACUUCCCUUCUCCAUCCCCCAAAGAAAAGCUGCGUUCCAACUCAACACCUCAUAGAACCAGAGCCCCCUAAUAUCCCUAGGUGUGGGCAGCUGGCAUUCCCCAACAUUCCCCUAACACCCAGCACCUAAGCUAAGAAUGCUUGGGGCCUGAACCCCAAAUGUUUAUUCAGCCAUGUAAAGCCACUUGCACACUUGUCCUAUAAAAAAGGAAAGCAACAGAAUGUUUUUCUCCUCUUGGAGCAGAGCCCCACAGUGAAUCUAGCAAUGCACUGGCUCAAACAUGCCCCCUUUUCAGCAGCAUGCUGAAAGAAAUAGGAUCCAUGCGUCAGCUGGAAUUUCUAUCUCUGAGUUUCUACCUAAACUAAGUGAUACUUUCUGUUAUUCCCAGUCACAUCAAAACAAAUGUGAGAUUCAAAUUUUAAACUGGGCUAUACUGUAACAAAUUAGACUUGACUCUUUUUGUUUUGUUUUGUUUAAAUAACAGAAAGUGACUAGAAAACUAUAGGAUCCACCUAAGAUGCUAAGACAUGGCAAAGUGAGACCAAACAUAGCACAACAAAUAGUUGGAGACAAAAUAAAAGCAUUUUACAUUUGUGCACUACAAUGUUCAGGCUAUUCAACACACUGAUUUCACACAUACAGUCCCAUUUAUUGCCAACAAUAACCCUGCAAAGUAGGUACUAUUAUUGGGCACAUUUUACAUAUAAAACGACUUAAAAUUAGAGGAGGUAGUAUAUAUUUUCCUAAUUUUUGGCAGCCCAGCAUCUAAAGCCCUUUUCUAUGCUUGAAGAAUGCCCUGCCUUAUGAGUGAGUCUUGCUGGAAAGAAGAGACCAGCUUCCAAUAUAAAAACUGAAAAUACCAAAUACUUUUCCCAUAUUCCCUGAUAACUAUCACACUGACAUUAGAAGAGUCUCCACCAACAGAUGUGAGCAUGCCAGUUUUCCCCAGAAUCUAAAGAUACAAAGAAAGAGGAUUUUUGUGGGAAACCACUCUGGUGAAAAUGCCAGUGGAAGUCCUACACUGAACCCGAUUUCCAGUGGCAAGAAUUUUAGUGGCUCCAGCAGCGAUGCCCAGUGCUCCGUGACUAUGGGUUCACAAUGUACACAAACUGGUUGGGCCACUGCAGAUGAAAGAGAUGGCUUCAAGUGCUCAGUUAUGUGUCUUGAUUGGUAAUGUGGCCAUUGGCUGGGUAAUGUCCACACUGCUUCUCUGGCCCUUUUGAAGUGUCUGUUAGCCAUAAUAACUAGAUUUAUUUUCUGAUUAAAUUAGCUAGAAUUAGGUUCUGACUGACUUAGGAUAAGUAAUUGCUCUCUGAUCACACAUAGAGCAAAUGAUGGAGCUGGAAUUCCAGUCUUCACUAGGUUAUACUGAAUGAUGAGAUAAUGUUAUGGGCUGAAUUCAUGUGUUGAAGUCCUCAUCUCCAGAACCUCAGAAUGUCUGUAUUUGGAGAAGAGUUUUUAAUGUUGUAAUUCAGUGAAAGUGAGGUCAGUAGGGUGGCUAUAAUUCAAUAUGACCUGAAUCCUUACGAGAAUGAAAAUCUGGACACAGAAAUCCGUGUGGGAGGCCAUGUGAAGACACGGAGAAAGCAUCCAUCUGUGAGCCAAAGAGAGAGGCCUCAGAAGAAACCACCCCUGCAGACACCUUGUAAUUGGACGUCUAGCCUUCAGAACUGUGAAACAGGAAAUUUCUGUUAUUUAAGCCACCCAGUCUAUGGUACUUUGUUAUGGCAGUCCUAAUAAACUAAUACCAGGAAUGAGGAAUACGAAAGAAUUCAAGAUGAUCUCAAAGUUGCUCAAUGAGGUGACUUUAGAAAAGAUGAAGGGUAUGAGAGGAGUAGCCAUUGCAGAAGGAGAACAAGAUCAUGAAUUCAAUUCAGAAAACUUUGAUUUUGAGACCUCUGCAGGAGAAAAUAAGAGAAAGCUUCAAAGGCCUAGCUUCCUUUAUAGAGUCCUGGGAGAGACCUAAAGUUGAGGAAUAGAGAGAAAAGGCACCUCUGGAUACUCACUGGCAUUGGAUCCAGCUCUGAGUUGCUUGCUUUCUGGGCUUCAGAAUGACAAAGCAGGUUUAUGCACAGAGUUUUUCAAUAAGCAAGUCCCCACUGAAGGUCACAGGCCUAUUUCAGCAGUGGGAGAAACCACAGUCAGCAGUAUUGGGCCAUGCAAGUGAAGGGUUGUUCACUGGAGAGGUUUGUUACCUUAUUGGGAAGAUGAAGUUUUCAUCCAGCAUUAAGCCUAUGGCUAUAAUUCAGGGAUGAGACAAGGGUGUUUGCAUUUGUUAGCAUGAAGACAAACAAAUCCAACACCCUUAGGUCAGAAUUUCAGCUUAACAUGGUAUCUUGUGCUUGAAUAUCCCUUGCAACCUCUCCUGACUUUCCACUUUCCAAAGUGAGUCUUUUAAAAUGCUCACGUUUUGGCUCACACCUGUAAUCCCAGCACUUUGGGAGGCCGAGGCGGGCGGAUCACGAGAUCAGGAGAUCAAGACCACGGUGAAACCCCGUCUCUACUAAAAUACAAAAAAUUAACCGGGCGUGGUGGUGGGCUCCUGUAGUCCCAGCUACUCGGGAGGCUGAGGCAGGAGAAUGACGUGAACCCCGAAGGCGGAGCUUGCAGUGAGCCGAGAUUUCGCCACUGCACUCCAGCCUGGGCGACACUGCGAGACUCCGUCUCAAAAAAAAAAAAAAAAAAAAAAAAAAAAAGGCCACGUUUAUUGGUCUUAUGCCUAUAAAAAAAGUCUAUGUGGACAACCACUCAUUGAUUCAAUAAAUAAUGCUUAAGUGCUUACUCUGUGCCAGGAUUCUGAAAGGCACUGUGGGUAAAUGGUAGGCAAAUCUAAACCUGGUCCUGCCUUCAGAGAGUCUACUGUUUGAACGGAAAAAGAAGAGAAUGAGGCCAAACAAGAGGUUGUUCACCUGAGGAAAUGGAUGGGAGCUGGGCAAGCCUACCUGGCAGAGGCUCACCUGGCUGAGUACCUAUGAAAUUGCCAUGGAUGAUCUCAAAAUUCAAAGAAAAGUCCAGUGCAUAUAAAUAAAAACCUUGAAAACACAAAUUCAUAGGCAAAAGGCUGAGAGGCCACAUAAAUUACUUUUAGUGAAAACAACAAAUAAUAUUAGUAUUAUUUCUGUUUCAGUAUUCAAGGCAGUGGUGAUGGGAACUUGAGGGCAUGAGAAUCAGGGCAAAGAGAAUUACUGAAAGAGUAAAACUAUCUUAAAGAUGUGAGGUUGGCCACUGAUGGAGAGGACAAGCAGGACAGGGAUCGGGGGACCAAAGUCCAGCUGCACUGACUCCAUUCAGCUCUGCUCUGUUCACCCUCAUCCCAAACCUGUCCCCAUCCCCAGACAAAUAGAAGCUGUGGACAAAGAUUGUUUUUGCCCUCCACAUCUCCAAUACUCUGUUUUCAAAUGACUGCAACCAACCCAACAAAAGAACUCACUUAACAUAUUAGUAGUAUCUUAAAUGAUGCAAUUUUAUCUUGUCCAUGAAAUAGCUUCAAUUAAAACAAAUUAUCUCUUUCCAUUCAUAGCUUAAUUCAUAUAGCACAUCUGAUAGAGCCUUUUUAAAUGCUCACUUUUAUUGGUCUUAUUUCAAAAUUAAUUCAUGUUUAUAGUCUAGCAUUUAGAAAAUUCCAAGGCAAAGCAGGCUACAUUUGUGUGUUUCCUCUUGGUGUCUCCAGUGCCCCAUGCCGCCACUGCACAGAGGACAUUAAGCAUUGAACACAGAGAACUAAACCACUUAAGGAACCACCCAUAAUCUCAAUACCAAUAGAUACUUACCCUCACUUUUUUGAUAUGUUUUUUCCAGUCACUUGUGUAUGUAAGCAUACAUACAAAAACAGGUGUGUGUGUGUGUGUAAAAAUGUGUGUUUACAGAGUUCGUUUUACAGGAAAGCACAAAGUCAGAUAGUUGUUAUCGGGCACCUAUGGGAAAUGUCAUAGGAGACUAAAGAUGAGACGAAAACUUUGGGACCACCACUCUUAAUCAUCCUAAUACUUGAUCUUUCCAUGGCUACCCUGAGAUAGAAUAAAUGGCUUUUGUAAAACAACUUAAACCUCAUCUCCUUAAUUGAGGUAUCCUGCUUUCUUACUCUUAUUUACGUGUCUAAGUCAGGGAGAAACAUCCCAUUAUGUCACAAAUAAGAUUAAAGGUAGUUGUAAUUAAAUUUCACCAUGUGCCCUGAGUUUUCCCACCUGAGAAUUAUAAGAAAAAAAUCAAAAGGUCUUCUCCUCUUACUAGACUACCCACCAAAUGGUCAUUACAUUUUCCUGUAGGCUGCAGAUAAAAUCUCUCUAUCAUAAGUCUCCCAAUCACCAAGUGAGAAAACACCACUCUGGGGUCCAGGGAUGUGUAGGCAAUUGAAGAGUUUCUCUUUUAAGAAUGGCAGCUCAUUAGGGUAAGUGUCCAAGAACAUAAUGAAAAAAUUGUGGUAUAUUUAUACUGGGGGAUAUGCCAGAUUAAAAAACGAACACAUUUGAGUUACAGAUAGCAACAUGGAUAAAUCUCUAAUGCAGAAUUUUAAUAAGAAAAAGGCAUAUUGCAGAAUUAUAGGUGCAGUAUAAUACCAUGUAUAUAAAGUUUAAACACAAAAACAUGCUAUAUAUCUUUUAUGGAUAUAUCCUUGUGCAGUAAAAAAUAUAAAAUAUGCAUAAGAAUGACAAAGACAAAUUUUAGAGGAUUUAUUCCCUUAGGGAGAAAAGGAAACGGCAUCACAAGGAUUACAAGAUUUGAAUUGAAUCUACAAUAUUUUAUUCCUUAAGCUGAGUAGCGGGUACAUGGGUGUUCAUAUACUCAAAACCAUUUUUGGCACAUGAAAUAUUUUAAAAUUUUUUAAAAAGCUAGAUAGUAUGAUUGACAUCUUCAGAUACUUGAAGAUCUGGCAUGUUGAUGAUGGAAAGUAUCCUAUGACUAAGUAGGUAAAGCUAUUAUGAAGGCAAAUUUUAGGUCAUUCUUAGGAAAAACCUAAAAGGGCUGUCUAAAAAUGAACAGUGUCUUCUACAUGAUUAAGGAGUAAAACAGAGUUAAGGUCUUCGGAGGUAGCAAGUCACAGUGCAAGUAGAGUUCACUUGUCUUUGUCUUGAAAGCAAAGAUUUCUUUUCUCUUGCAAAAUUCCCGGGACAUAUCCUGAUAAAGCUUUACAUCUCAGCAGCAUCACUCUGAUUGCUCUUUUUUCAGUUGGUGUCAUUGGAAGCCCCUAAACCCUAUUUAACUUCAGUGCCAUUGACUGGCACUUCCUGCCACUUACAUCUUUGCCAUUUGGCAGUGCCUGGGUUGGACAGAUCUGCCACCUGGUUCUGGUUCUGCAUUAUUGUCAUUCCUUGUGCCAGUCAUAAGGAUUCACUGGCACCCCUCUGAGAUUAGGAGUUCUCCAGGUCUGGAGAUAUUAAAAAAGAGAGAGAUGGUCAGCGAUGCUAUAGAAGGGAUUUUAGUAGUCUCUGGUAUGCUGGAGCACAUAACCUUUGAGUAUGGAUUUCCAUAUUCAUUUAUUCAAGAAAUGUUUAGUGAGUGUUUACUUUGUGCAAAGCACCUUGCUCGUUAAGCUUCUAUGGCUCUAGAAUUUGUCUUUGAAAAUGCGUCUCUAACUUUACAGAAAUGAAAAUUGAGACAUGAUGGGAAAACUUAUUUUAAGCAAACAAUAAGGCAGGCAGGCAGGCUGUGGUUUGCAGACCGACCACUUCUAGCCUUAUUGCCAAGAGCACUACGAGAGUCACAGGAACAUUUUGGAGAUAAUGUUACAUUCACAGACUUGUACAUGUCUUACAGUGAAAGACACCCCAGAGGUUAUCCAAUUCAAAUACUUCAUUUUACAGACGAGGAAACAAAAGCCUGGGGAGGUAUGUGGCUAACUGAUUGCAGAAUCUAUUCUCAGAUAUGGUAUUUCCUUCCCAACCUUGAAAGUUGUGUUCCUGAAAACCUCCAUGGAAGGAGAAAUUACACUUGAGGAACUUACGACCUUAGGAAGAAAAUAGAGUUUGGGGAGUAAGAUAGUGAGUGAAUCUGAGAAAGUUAUCAUCAUUGUUUUAUAUCUACUAAUAAAACAAUGUAGGUACCAUUGAUACCCACUUUAUUUUAUGCCGAACGCAUUUGUAAUGGUGAAUCUUGUACAGGUGAUUUUAUUUACUUCUUAGAAUUCCUUAUUAACACUUCUCUAGGCUCUCUAUACACAAUUUUUGUAAAACUUCUUGUGAGUCAUUGCCUUUUUGUGUAAAUACUGGUUACAAUGGAUUGUUUUCUGUUUCAGGUCCUGUUGUCUCUGCCUUUUUGCAUCUUUGACAUUAUCAUUGUAACUUAUAACUUCUAACCUCUACUCUGACUCAACUUGGUUGUUUCCUGAUUCCUCUCUCUCCUUCUUGCUGUUCCUUCUCUCUGCUGUCCUUUAACUGUAGCUGCUCACCAGGACUAUGCUGUAAACUUUCACCUCCUCUCACUGUUUACUCUACCUAUGUAACUAUCAUGUUUGAUAAUGAGGUCCUGCUGAAUAAGCCUGUUUGCUGUCUUUCCAGGCUGUGCUUUCCCACUCCUGCAGCUACUGCCUUAAUUCAGGUUAUCACUGUCUCUCACUAGGACCCCUGCACUAAUCUCCUUGAUUGGUCAAAGGUUUCAUUAUUUGCAUUGUGCUCUGAGUGAAAUUUUCUUAUGACGGCUUACAGUUCCCAGUGGCUGCAUGUGCCUAUAGAACACUAACUUCCUAAGCAUUUCAUCCAAGGCCCUCCACCUUAGCUCUUGUACCCUUUACUCCAGCCAUAUUUAUUGACCCUACUUGAUGGCCUAAUGUACCAGACUAUUUGGCAUCUUCAUGCCUUUGUGAACUGACUUUUCUUCAUCAGGAAUGCCCUUCACUCUGCCCCUCUCACGCUACCCAUUUCCCCUCCCACGUGCAAUCACCUGCCUGGUGAACAUCUACUCUUCCUCGAAAACUUUGCUCAUACCAUCACCUCUCCCUUGGAGGUACCACUUCCUACUCCUACUUUCUGCUCAUCUCGUACCUCAUUAAAGAGAAUAGGAGGUUCCCACCACAAAAUCUGAAAGCCUCCUGCCACAAAACCUGUCUUCUUCCCUCUGUGCAACUGAAUGUGACUCCUUGUAAUCAAAUGCUCAUCCCUCAAUUCAUGUUGGGAAUCCCAUCUCUCUCACUUUCUCAAGAAGUUCAAUGCUUCUGUCAGACUGUCUCCAGUCAAUUAUUCCCAUCAGCAUAUAAACAUAAUCCAGUAUUACUGUCCUAACCAAUACUCCAUAUUGAUCCACAUCCCUUUCCAGCUACCAUUCUUUUCUGUCUUUCACAAUAAAAUUCCAUAAAAUAGUUGUGUACACACAGCACUUUUAUGUUUUCACUUCACAGUCACUUUGGAAUUCACUUCAAAUUGGCAUUCACCCACAUGACCCAGUUGGUCACUAAUGACCUUUAUAGUGCUAUGUCCACAUUUUCAUCUCACUAGAACUUUCAGCAACAUCCAACAAUUGACCAUUCUCUUCUCAAAAUUGGCCAUUCUCUUCUUGAAAUUGUUCUUGGCUUACAUGAUUCCAUAUUUCCCUGGUCUUUUAUCUGCUUCUCUACCUGCUCCUCCUAAGCCUCUGUUGUGUCUUUUCUUCCACUUUCUAUAAUACCUCUAAGUAUUGAAUUUCCUCAGUAUUCUGCUCUGAACCCCAUGCCUUAUGUUUCCAUAAAUAAUCUCAUUCAUCCUCAUGGCUUAAAAUACCAAUUCCAAGCCAAUGACUCCUAUGUCUGUAUCUCUAGUCCUAACCUCUCCUCUGACCUCCUGACUUAUACUCUUGUCUUUAUAACACCCACUUAUGAAUGCUUCAUGGACAUCUCACAUAAAUAUAUCCAAGACUGCAUUUUUAUUUCCCUCUGAAAACCUAGUCCUCCUUCCAUCCUCCCCACCUCCCUUUUUUGGCAACAUUAUCCACGCUGUUGAUCAGGUCUGGAUCCUGGGAGUCACUAAUUAUUUCUCCCUGUAUUUCUUCCUCUAGUCCAAUUCGUCACUAAGUCUGAUCAUCUGUCUCCUAAAUGCAGCAUAAGGAGAUCCACUUUUCUUUAUCGUUACUGCCACAUUGUAGUUUGAUCUACUAUUAUUUUAAACUUAACAACCACAAUACCUUCAAACUGAUCUCCAUGCACACAGAACACAGUGACUCUCAUCCUUAAUUGAAUCUCUACACAGCCACAGAAACAGUCUUUCUUGAAACAUAAAUCCCAGCAUGACACUGCCUGACAUGCAAUCUCUCUUUGCACUUUGUCUUAGUCCAGGUACAUCAGUGUUGCUAUAAGUCCUGUUGGUCAGCCUCCUGCCCCGUACCCUAAGCUCAUCUUACAUCAGCGAGUCCUCACUCUCCACUCUCUAGACUGACUCCUGAUGUUUUCUCAAGCAAGUUGAUUUCUUUCUCAUCUUAAUCCUUCACAGGUGGUACAUAGUGCUUCCCGAGUUUAGAUCUCCACUCUCCCUUAUGUUCUCAUAAAGGAUUCAUAUGUCCUUUAGGUCUUGGCUUAAAUGCCAUCUAUUCAGAGAAGCCUUCCCUGGCGACCUUAUCUGAGUCAAUCUUCCAUUGUUAUAUUGUUAUAUUGAUUUGCUUUGUUUCUUGCUACUUCUUCUACUUGACUCGGUAGAAGGCUCUGCAUAAUUGACCAAAAUAUAUACAGUGUUUUUCAGAGUGCUAGUCACCUAUUAGUACUGAAGAAUUAUUUGUUGAAUAACUUAAUGAUUUUUUUGCAGUUACACGAGUGUUGUUUUGAUUGACUGAAAAUAGAUUGCCUAAGAUGACAUGAAAGAUCAAAGGUGAAGAGUGGAAGAUAGCACCACUUUGGGUUAAAAGUUUACUUAAGUCAGCAACUCCUCAAGAAACAGCUACCAGCAUUCCUGGGACUAUUAUGCCCUGGUCUACUUGUAGCCUGUUUGUAUUCCAGCCUACUUUGGCACCUUGCCGUCUCUGCUUACCGACUUUCUGCAUAAGAGUGAAAUAGAAAGUGACUUGGAACCAUGUAUACCUAAAGUGUGACAUUUAAAAAAACGUCCUCAGAAAAACUAAUAUCCUGGUUAUUUUUGAAUGUGCUAAGAGACUCUUUUUUUUAAUCUUGUUUUUUUAUUUUGAAUAUAGAGCACAUUGAGGUUUAAAAUGGAAAAUUCUAUUAAAAAUAAAAGGCAUACGUUUACAUAUCUUACAAUUACCUCUGCUUCUGUCCCUCCCAUUCCUUAUGAG
rnacentral:lncRNA from 1 species